AGAAACAGACGCUCCCUCUCCAGGGGCAGCUUCCUAUUCAGGGCGGGUCUGGGCGCACCUGUUCUCGGGACCCGGCCCUCGGCCUUCGCCGGGUCUCGCGGUGGGGCUUGGGACCCCGGCUGGUGCCAGGGCGACCCCCACAGCCCCGCGACUCUCUUUCCCGGCCGCCUCCCGCCGUCAUUCUCCUAGUUCCUGCCCGCCUUUGCCUCGCUCUGAUUCCUGCUCUGGCCUUCCUCCCUUCCCCUCUCUCACGCACUCCAGGGAAGAGGUGGCCUCCGCGGGAACCUGGGCACCUCCGUGCCUGCCCCGCCCGGUACCUGGCAGAGGCCCCCACCUCCUGCUGCUGCUGCUGCUGCCGCCGCCGCCGCCGCCGCUGCUGCUUUGACUAUUCCUCCUUUGUAGAUGCUUCACGUCCGCCUUGAUUGAGGGCAAGGCUUCCGGCAGAUGACUCAGAACCGUUCGAUUGCUCUGGCUUGUGCAAUCCCUGAUUCUUUGGGCCUGUGUGGAUGUCUGUGGGCACCGGAGAGAGGGCCAGUGCCUGGUCCUUGGAGGGUGGUUUUUAUAAAAAGUGUACACAUUGGCUAUUGUCCUUUUUUCACCGUUGAUUCACGUUUGACUCCACUGUAGUUAGACGUCCACCCAAACAUUCUCUGAAAUUGCUCCUGAUAAGGAUACUAAUCAUUUUCUAAUUGCCUUGGCCAAAAAAUACAUCCCAGGUCUUAUUUCAUUUUGUUUGUUGGCGACAUUUAGCCCUUUCUUCUUUGACCUUCCCAGGAUUUCCAGAGCACCCUUCCCUUCUUUCCUGACUCCUUUGCUUGGUAUCCUGAUUCCUUUCCUACCAUUCUAAGCCCUCUUCUUUUCAUUAUAAUAUGAUCUUCUUGUAUGACCUCCACUAUAUCCAUAGGUUCAUGUUUCAACUUUUAACUUAUUUCUUCAAAAUCUCUAACCUGUCUCGAGCCGUAGAUGUUACCUGUGUACUACUGGACAUCUCUCAGAAACCUGGGUGUGUCCCUCCGCAGUUCUUUUAACUAAAUGAUCAACAGUCCUGUUACUUCUAUCACUUUUGUGUUCCUCCUGUCCAUACUCUGUCACCUCUAUCAUGUCUCAUGUCUCUCCUAAACAAUUAAUUUUCCUACCUACAGUUCUGAUCCAUGCCAACCUAUUGCCUACUCUGAAGUUCAGGUCCCUCUGGCUGCAACAUGGAGUAUAUUGUAGGAGGGUACCAUUGCCUGCAGUGAGGCGUUAAGGACGCAGCAUGGAUGAGAGAUGAGGAAAGCUGAAAUGAAACAGAGGCAGGAGAAAUGGAGAGGAGGACAUGGCCUUGAGGAAUUUCCAGGACAUAAAUUUGGCAUCACUUCUUGGACCAUGAGAGGAAGAGGGAGCAGGAAGAAUCAAAGAUGAAUCCAAGAAUGAACAAAUCUAAUUUUUGAAAUAAUGCAAUGAAAAGUAGAACUGGUCUGUUUUCCUAGGAGAGGAUGGUGAAAUAGAGGUAGUUUGUGUGAUUUGCCCAGAGUCCCAUGAAGAAUUCACAGAAGAAUUGAGACUACAGUCAGUAUGGCCACAUUCCCAGAGAACUGCUUUUUCUGCCAUACCCUGUGGUAAUAAUAUUGUCACAAGACAAUUGGACAGUGUUUCACAUAUUCAGUGAUGGAAGAAGAGUUUAAUUGAAAUAAAUAAAUGUCAGGAAAAAUUAAUUCGAUUGUGAUAACACUUAAGGAAUGGAGUGUUCACUCUCUAGGAGAAGUUGGGCUAAAUGAUGAAAUGGAGUGUCCGUGUAUGUGAUCUGUGGUGCUGUUUUGCUGUAGUUAAUUCCUAUUUUUAACUUGAAAUGUGUUCUGACUGCGUUAGUGCCAAUUUUUUUGAGACCGGUGUACCUAUCCUAUCAGGUACAUUCGAUUUACACAAGUACAUUCUCUUUUCAGUUCUCCCACCACUUCUCUUUAUUCAAACAAUUAAAACCUUCUUGAAUAUUA